ACUCCUACGGGAGGCAGCAGUCACGUGAAUCUUCCGCAAUGGACGAAAGUCUGACGGAGCAACGCCGCGUGAGUGAUGAAGGUUUUCGGAUCGUAAAACUCUGUUGUUAGGGAAGAACAAGUACCGGAGUAACUGCCGGUACCUUGACGGUACCUAACCAGAAAGCCACGGCUAACUACGUGCCAGCAGCCGCGGUAAUA
rnacentral:rRNA from 1 species